UGUAUACUUGAAGUUUAUGCUCAGUGGGAAUAAAGCAACAGAUGUGACAGCACUACUUUGGAAAUUUGUAAAACUCCAAUAUUGUAUUCAUAAUAUAUUUUUUUUGUAAGAAAAUUAAAAAAACGUUACAGCAAGUUAUAUGCAAAACCUUGGGCAUAUUAAUAUUCAUUAAAUUUACUAUCCCCUAAAUGUUACAAAUCGGAGCCCACCCAAGUGAAUUCAAAAUGAGCCGAUCUGUUUGUUUAAAAGCCCUGAGAGAUCUAUGAACAAAUCCUAUAAUACAGAUAUAUGCUCCGUCCUCAUUACUGCAACCAACCCCAUGGAGAGAGAAUUCAAUUUUUCAGAGCUCACAAAUCACAUAUUUCUAAUAUAAAAGUGGUUUGAUAAACAAAAUAUUAAAAUAAGUAAUAACAGUUUCACUUGUAAGCACAGGUAAUCUCUUACCUGCUGUACCCGGUAAAUGCAUGGUAUACGGACAUGCAUGGUAUACUUUUGGCUUUGGAGGCAAGUACAAAUAAAUGUGUUUUUUCACAGAAAACUUAUGCAGACAUUAUAUGAGUUUGUCGGAUGGAGGUUGCUGGAGUCACAAAGUAACAUUUCUUUCUUCUAUUAUGACCUGUGAUGUAUAAAGGAUCUUUCACGGAGAUCUGUAUAUGCCUAAGUGAUGCAGACUCUCUUUCCCAUAAUGCAGUUGGCACCAAUGUCUCCUCUCACCUGGCUCUUCCAAACACAUACAUCUGGCAGACAGGGCUGCUCUAUUUUCUACAAUAAACUAAGAAAUAUCACAGUGUUCCAGUACAGACAAGGACAGCACUGAUAUUGUACAAACUCACACAGUGCUGUAUAAUUCAUGUCUACUGCCUCACACUCUCAGUAUUGUGCCAACAUACAUCCCAGCGCACCUCCAGUUGCUGAUGAAUGGUGCUAGGAGGCUGCAGUUUAAAACCCCUGUAUACUUGUGUCCAAAGGGUGAUUGCCUCCCAGUGCUCCCCUUACCAGCUCUUCCAAAUGGUAUGGUUAUUGUGUGUAUCCAUUAUGCAAGUUGAACAUAUCUUAUUGGUGAUGUGUUUUUUUAGAUUGGGAGUUUGUUGUUUCCAGUAGUGUCCUCCCUGGUGCUCACCUAUAAUGUAUAACAUAACACAGACCAGUGGGAUGUAAGACAGAUAGUUGAUGUGAUCUGGAGAUGAGCCUUGGUUAGCUGUGAUGAUGGUGAGAUUGGUGGAAUUGUGAUGG